rnacentral:lncRNA from 1 species
CAUGAAGACUAAUUUGAGUUAGGGAAUAAUAUCCUGUAAGAGAAAACAAACUAACGAUGUGAUUAAAAACGUGUCAUCAGGUAUUCACAUUUUCUAGCAAAAUGAUUUCUCACAAGUUGGGGAACAGCUAGUCCUCAUUUUGUUUUCUAAUAUAGCAGUAAUUUGCUGAUGCGGCUUCAACAAUUCAAGUAGGGUCUACGCCAUCCCAAGAAAAAAUAAACUAGCAAUACCUGCCAUGUCUCUGUGCAGCCCCUACCUCUGAGUGAAAUAAGUAUUUCAGAAAAAAUUAAGGAACUAAAUCCACAAAGGUGAAAAUAUUUUGAAACGUGGUCGAGCUUAUGAGAAAUAGAAGCUCUAGAUCUAUAACUUCCACAAAAUGACUCGAGAUGUUUAACAUACUAAACCUUUAGUAUCAAAAACUGACAUAUAUGUGUAAUAUCUAAUUGUUUAAAAUUACAUGAUAAAUAUGUAUGGCUGUUACAACCGAUUGAAUCAGUUUUGUAUUUGGCGUUUGAACAAAAUAAAUAGAACUUCUUGUAGGGAGUCUAGUACUCCAUUUAGCGUCUUGAGUCAAGACUAAUUCUGAUGUAACAACAAACCCUGAAACUUGAAAGUGAAAAGAAAUCGUUUGAAGUCUACCUGCUACCAAAUCCAAACUCAGAUUUUUGUACCGUCUAGAAUGGGUGCUGAAACUUGAAAGAGAGAAUUGACUUAUAUGAUGGCGAGACACAGCAAGCUACAGCUCCAAGUCCUACACCUGUAUAAAGCUUUCCUGCGGGUAGCAGAGAACAAACCAGGAGUGAAGCCUCAGAUCAAGUAUGAAUUCAGGAAGGGAGCCAAGAUGCCUCGGACAGAUUUAAUGCGGAUAGAAUAUGUAAUGAGGAGAGCGGAAAGACAGCUUCAGAUGCUACAGACUGGAAGCGUAGAUCGAGCUGGAACGUUUACAAAUGAGGAAGCCGAUACUAGCAGCGGAGUUAAGGUGGACUCUAAAAAUGAUAGUUCUAAAUCAUCAACGGAUUCGAAUAGGUGAUGCAGUCCAUCUGCUCUUCCAUGAGGCACAAGGACUCUGUUCUCACAGGGUGUUCUUUUCCCAGUUCCCAUCAAUUGGAGGAAAAUGGUGCAUGAUGAGAAGAGAUGGCCUGUGAUAGAACAUGACUGUAUACUUCAGUCAACACUACAACUGUCUCUUGACAGCGUUUAAAUAAAGAUCAGAUUGUACUAAGAAGACAAAAUGGAGGCAUCUAUUUAUCAGAUUGUUCAUGGUGACAAUUUGACAAGUGAUGUUUUCCUCAAAACCUUUGGAAUUUGGAAAUGUGGCUUAUUGUUCAUCAUUUUGAACAAAAUUGCCAAUAAUAAUAAGGUAUGCAGUGUAUGCAUUAGCAGUUUUCCAUACAGUGAUUGAUGUAACUUUCUUUCUUUACAAGUUGUUAGCUAUAAAAAAUACCACUGCCAUCAUUCUUCCUGUUGAGUGUUAUUUCAGCAUUCUUGUACUCAGUUGUAAAUUAACUAAAUCCUUUAGAAAGUAUACAUAUUUUGUUAACUGUAGUUUAAGGUGAUUGAUUUCAAAUUAAUACCCUGAUCAUGUCUUAAAGAAAGGGUGUGUGAUAUAUAAUCAUAUAAUUAUAAAAGGAGGCAGUGAUGAUAGCAAGUUUUUUUGUCCACAACCUCUAAGAACCCCUAACAAAAUUGGAGUUUAUGUACUGUAUAACUGUUUGAAUGGGAACAAAAGUUUUCUACCAUAUUUCCAAAAAUGAUUUGAACCCUUACAUGUAUAUGACCCUACAUUCAUGAUAAAUAUUGGAAGGAAUACCGGGUAGGUGGGUCAACUUCAAAAAAUAUUUAAAAAUUCAGUACUCAAGACUAUUCAUCCAGCUUAACGACAGUAAAAGAUGUAGUGACUGAAAAAGGGGGGAAAAAAAGUGUACAUUAUGUUAAAUCUUGGUUAUAAAAGAUAUCUAGUGCUUAAAUUGUCAGAAUUGAGGGCAAUCAAAUAAUGCAAAUUGUCUAAAGUUAGGUUGAACUGCACCCGCACUUUCCACAGAGCCUUGUGCAAUUUGUCAUAGAAAUUACACAUUUCAUAUAUGAUCUACAGUGUACUCAUGUUUCGUUUAUUUAGUGAAAAUUUGUAUUGAAGAUUGGGUUCAAUGUUUACUUUGACAUUCAAAAGUGUGUGAUAUAUAUACCGGGUACAUGUAUAAUAAAAUGACAAAAAAUUGAUGA